UAUUACUAGACUGCCUCUGCAAAAGUCUACGUCCACUAUUUCUGUACAGCGGCGACUGGUGCGGUUACAUUUAGACACCCCAUACAUCUAGAUUGCAUUGGCUUGUAUCAGAUUGCUGCCUUGUCGCUGAUAAACUACUUAAGUGGCAUCAACGUGCUUUAUGAUUGGCUGGGAGGGCAAAUGACCUCUCUUCUCUUCCCAUUUCAUCUUCAUUGCCUCCCUGCAAAGCACCCGCUUUGAAAUGAAUAAAUGAGCGAGCGGGGCACAUUCGAUUUAAUUAACGGGGCACGUGCAAUUGAUAGCUUGGCGGCAAUAGAUUGAAUGCACCGUGAUAGAUUUACGUGGCUUGGAGGUGGAUCGGACGGGGGAGGGGGUAAUUGAACAGCGCUUGCUUCUUAUACGACCCCUGCUCCUCCCCGUACCCGACAGGUGAGCCACCUGUGGACGCCACGGACAGCAGUAGCAGGUGCCGCGUGGCCAUGCAUUAUUGAAGACCGCGCACAGCUAGGGAUUCGUUAAUUUCAGCUUGGAGUUGUCCGGGAAAAUAACCUCGACGUUGGACUUCUGUCGCACCGUGGGGGGCACAAGGGAGGAUUUAGGAGGCGAGGACAAUGGAGGAAAUCCAACGACGCCGCAAAGAAUCUAGCGGAGUACAUGUAAUGCUCGCCUACGCAAAGCCGCAUGUUGGACGUGGAGAAUUGCAAACAACGAGAGAUGUCGGGCCCGAGUGGGGCACUCAUCUCCAAGGGGGGGGGCUCUCAGCUCCUGGGCCCCGUGGGGGGCUCUGGGGUCCCCUGCGGGCUUCAAUUCAAGACAAGCCUCUUACGUUAGGCAACAUAGGUUCGAAUUAGUGAAAAAAAACCUAAACUACUCGAAGUAAUACGUGAAUAGAUAAUAACAUUAAGGAAUGUUUAACACGUAGGCUUUCGCGACCAAUAUCAUCCACAAUAGAGGUUUUUUUUUUGGGUUAGAAAUUACU